AUGGUCUGGGCUCCACUCAUCCUCUUUGCGUACUGCACAGGGUCUUGGGCUGAGUUCGUGCUGACACAGCCCCGCUCUGUGUCUGAGUCACUGGGACAGAAGGCCACCAUCUCCUGCACCCGCAGCAGCGGCAACAUUGGAAACAGCUACGUGUACUGGUACCAGCAGCACCCGGGCAGUGCCCCCAAGACCGUGAUCUACGAUGAUGACAAAAGACCCUCUGGGGUUGCCAAUCGAUUCUCUGGCUCCAUCGACAGCUCCUCCAAUGCUGCCUCCCUGAGCAUCUCUGGGCUGCAGCCUGAGGACGAGGCCGACUACUAUUUUCAGUCUUAUGACAGCAGCGAUAAGCACACAGUGCUCCAGACCCGAGGGGAA